GGUGGCUCAGUGGUAGAGAGCUUGCCUUGCAUGCAUGAGGCCCUAGGUUCAAUUCCUCAGCACCA
rnacentral:tRNA from 1 species